rnacentral:snRNA from 1 species
AUACUUACCUGGCAGGGGAGAUGCCAUGAUCACGAAGGUGGUUUUCCCAGGGCGAGGCUUAUCUAUUGCACUCCAGAUGUGCUGACCCCUGCGAUUUCCCCAAAUGUGGGAAACUUGACUGCAUAAUUGUGGUAGUGGGGGACUGCGUUCGCGCUUUCCCCUU